GCGGUGUCCCCCCUCCGCGCGGGGGCCGGGUCCGCCCCGCCCCUCCCGCGCUCCCGGCCCUCCCAUUCCUCCCCGCCCCGCUGCCGCUUGCCGAGCGAUUUGUCCCGCUGCAGGGCGGGGAAGCGGCUGCGUCGCUGUAGCCCGGCGGAGAGCCUGGGAUGCCGCUGCUGAGCCGCUCCCUGCACAGCCUGACUCCGGAUCCGCCAGCCAGGUUCUGAACGGUGCCUGAACAGAAGUUAAAGAGCCAAGAGCUGCCCUCGGAGACAGGCUGCAGAAUAAUUAGUCACCAUGACGACAGAGACAGGCCCAGACUCAGAGGUGAAGAAUGCCCAGGAGGAGCCCCCACAGCAGCAGCUGGAGGCAGCGGCAACCAGUCCAACCACGGUGACCACCGGCCCUGGCCCGACGGCCAACAACCGGGAAGCUGAGGCCAACGAGAAGCCGAGAGCCCAGGCCGACUCCAGAAGUGCGGAGCCGGGCAUGGAUUUGGAGGAGAAGGACUACAGUGAAACAGACGGGCUGUCUGAGAAAACCACACCCAGCAAGACCCAGAAAUCCCCCCAGAAAAUUGCCAAGAAGCUCAAGAGCGCCAUCUGCAGGGUGACCCUACUCGACGCCUCUGAGUAUGAGUGUGAAGUGGAGAAACACGCCCGGGGCCAGGUGCUCUUCGACAUGGUGUGUGAGCACCUCAACCUCCUGGAGAAGGAUUACUUCGGCCUGACGUUCUGCGACUCCGACAGCCAGAAGAACUGGCUGGACCCUUCCAAGGAAAUCAAAAAGCAGAUCCGCAGUGGCCCCUGGAACUUUGCCUUCACUGUUAAAUUCUACCCACCCGACCCUGCCCAGCUCACAGAGGACAUCACAAGAUACUACCUGUGUCUGCAGCUGCGGGCUGACAUCAUCACGGGCCGCUUGCCGUGCUCCUUCGUCACGCACGCCCUGCUGGGCUCCUACGCCGUGCAGGCCGAGCUGGGAGACUACGAUGCUGAGGAGCACGUCGGCAACUACGUCAGCGAGCUGCACUUUGCACCCAACCAGACCAGAGAGCUGGAGGAGCGCAUCAUGGAGCUGCACAAGACCUACAGGGGCAUGACGCCGGGCGAAGCGGAGAUCCACUUCCUGGAGAAUGCCAAGAAGCUCUCCAUGUAUGGAGUCGACCUGCACCACGCCAAGGACUCAGAAGGUAUCGACAUCAUGCUGGGUGUCUGUGCCAACGGCCUGCUGAUCUACAGGGACAGGCUGAGGAUAAACCGCUUUGCCUGGCCCAAGAUCCUCAAGAUUUCCUACAAGAGGAGCAACUUCUACAUCAAAAUCCGCCCCGGCGAGUACGAGCAGUUCGAGAGCACCAUUGGCUUCAAGCUGCCCAACCACCGCUCUGCCAAGAGGCUCUGGAAGGUCUGCAUUGAGCAUCACACCUUCUUCAGGCUGGUGUCCCCAGAGCCGCCCCCAAAGGGCUUCCUGGUGAUGGGCUCUAAGUUCCGCUACAGCGGGCGGACACAGGCCCAGACCCGCCAGGCCAGUGCCCUGAUCGACCGGCCUGCGCCCUUCUUCGAGCGCUCCUCCAGCAAACGGUACACCAUGUCUCGCAGCCUCGAUGGAGAGUUCUCACGCCCAGCCUCCGUCAGCGAGAACCACGACGGAGGGGUGGAGUCCGAGAGGCGGGACGAGGACAGCGAGUACGGCGGGUGGCGACGCUCCGAGGCGGAGGAUGAGGUUGAGGAAGUGACGACCCCGACGAAAAUCAAGGAGCUGAAGCCGGAGCAGGAAACCACCCCCAGGCACAAGCAGGAGUUUUUAGACAAACCAGAAGACGUUUUGCUAAAGCACCAGGCCAGCAUCAAUGAGCUGAAGAGGACGCUGAAGGAGCCCAACAGCAAGCUGGUUCACAGGGACCGGGACAGGAGGCUGCCUUCAUCACCAGCCUCUUCCUCACCCAAGAAUGAGGAUGAGACGCCAAAGGGGACCCCGGAGAAGGCCAGUGAGAGGAUUGAAGAGGAUUCCCUAGAGGAGUUUUCAGCCGAGCACGGAGCUGCCUUAUCCAUGGAGUCUUUCACCCAGAAAAGCCUUGCCUCUUCUCCUGAGAGCAAAUCUCAGGAACCAAUUUGGGAAGAAAAGGAUUUACCUGACCCAUCAAUAAAAGCCGCCCCGAAAGAAGAGGGUUUAAGGACUGCUAUUCCAGUGGUCUCCCAGAGAGCGGGAGCGAGGGAGGGCGCAGAGGAGAAAGCGAAGCCACCUCGGCACAGGGCUCCUGAGAGCGACACUGGGGAUGAGGAGCAAGACCAGGAGAGGGAUUCGGUCUUUCUGAAGGACAACCAUCUGGCCAUCGAGCGAAAGUGCUCGAGCAUCACGGUCAGCUCGACCUCCAGCCUGGAAGCCGAGGUAGACUUCACUAUGAUCGGCGACUUCCACAGCACAGCCUUUGAAGACUUCUCCAGAAGUCUGCCUGAGCUCGAUAAAGACAUGAGUGAGAGGGAAGCUGAAGGUGCGAUUUCCUCCCAGGAUACUGACAAAGCAACUCCUGGCCAAGAAGAAGAUGCCAAGGAAGGGGAGCAGGGCUCCCACCAUAUCCCAGAAGUGUCCCACUUUGAGUCAUCCGUUCUGAAAACAGAGGCUGUGACUGUCAGCUCGGUGACUGGCACAAAGAAGGCAGAACCAGAGGUCUCCGUGCACCACAGAGUCACCACGGCGGAAACAACACAGGUCGACAGAGGCACCAUGGGCGGAAAAGAGACAACAGCCACGUCCCACAUCGUCACCACAGAAAGCAUAUCAGUGACCUCAGAUCACAGUACCAAGCCUGGGAAGGGAAUGAGCCCCGCUACCGAACUUCGCUCCAUAUCUCCGAUCACCAGCAGCUCUGCUGGGAAGGAAGUUCUCACCAGCAUAUUUGGUGCCACUGCAGAAACCCUCUCCACCUCCACCACUACCCACGUUACCAAGACUGUGAAAGGAGGGUUUGCAGAGACCAGAAUAGAGAAGCGGAUCAUUAUUACGGGAGAUGAAGAUGUGGAUCAAGACCAGGCAUUAGCUUUGGCAAUCAAAGAGGCAAAACUACAGCACCCUGACAUGCUGGUAACCAAAGCUGUGGUAUAUAGAGAAACAGAACCAUCUCCAGAGGAAAGGGACAAGAAACCUCAGGUGGAAGCGUGGCAUGGCUAGGGGACUCUAAGCCCUGCCUCCGCCUGCAGGCACAACCCUCGCAGCCUCCAUUGGCCACGGUUCCUGGCUGCGGAGCCGGCGCUUGGGGUGGAGGCAGCAUGCAGAGAUGUCUGGCCACACCUCUGCCCAGGAGCUGAGGGAUGUUGCCACUUCCAGGGAGGCGCAGAGCCAGGAAUCUUGACCGCCGUGUUCACAGAAGUUGGCAUCUCUAUUCAAACCCAACUCGGAGAACAAUGAAGAAGGGGCCUUCCUGCUGGAUUCCUCAAUGAGACCUAGACGUCCUGGCUGCAACGUUAAUGGCGAGAGACAAAAUUUUUUAAAAAAGGAAUAGCAAAUAUAAUAUAUAUAUAUAUAUAUAUAUUAUAUAUAUAUAUACACAGGAAACAAAAUGCAUCCUUGCACUGCUGCUAUAUGCUGGAGGUGAAUUGCAAACAGCAACAUCAACAAUAACACACAAAACCAACCACCUACUUUAGCCUUUGCAAACAAAUUGAAGAAUUGACUGGAUUCAUCAGAAAAACAAACAAAAAAUCAUGAUAAUAACAAUAAUAUUAUUAACAUACAAUAAACCGCCAUUUUGCAUGUUACAUUUAAAGGACACACAACUCAUGGGUUCAUUUGUUGCACACUGAAUGGAAAGGAAACGUGCUUUGCAACAAAGCAGCAAACAAAAAAACUCCAACAACCCACAAGCAGAUGCAAAACUAUUCCCCACCUAAGGAAAGAAGAGAGAGAACCAUUGAAUUGUUUGAUUACUUUGCAAUUAUUUUCUGCUUCAGGAUGUGUGGUGAUCAUCCCUCUUCCCAUUCCAUGCUAGUUCUGUUUCAUCAUUUUUUGGUUCUGUUCUUACUCCCCACACUUGUCCUUCCUUCUCUUUCCUCUGUCCCCUUGUCCGGUCUCUUGUUCUGCUGAAGGUAAUAAGAACAGAUCUCAUUUAAAACAAAACAAAACCUAUAUGUAUAUGGUUUCUCAUUUAUAAAAAUGCAGUCUGUAGGGGUUUCAUAUGAAUGUGCUUUUAAGUUAUGUAUAUUAUAUAUAACUGGGGGUGUGGAGUGGGGGGUGGGAAACAAUAUUAAAAUAAUUAAACAGUGCUGGUAAGUUUGCUGAUGACAUUUUUAAAUUAUAAUUGUUUGGUUGACUGUGGUUGAUAUACUAUGAGAAUCUUAGCUCACACUGAUAUCCCACAAGAAGAGAACAGGGAACAUUUCAUUAGCUGCUGCUCUUUGGGGGGGUGGGAUGGGACGUUUGCCACUGAGUUGAUGCACUGUGGCAGGAGGGGUUGGUGUAGUGACACAGUGUAUGGUGUUUGUAAUUGGUUGGUUGGUGAUAAGGGAGGGCUCAGCAACAUGGAGGGGUGGGGGACUGGGAAAGAAGGAAUGGACUGCAUCCAUUUACCAUUACCAAAAUGUGCCAGACAGAAAUGUCUCCCCAUGCCCCCAAUCCAAAGAUGUUGAGGUUGUUUGGAGACUCGAGGUUAGACUGUUUGAUUCCCAUGCUUCCCGCCUCUAGGAGUCUUUGACUCCUCAGGUCUGGAGCCCUAGCAGCAGUAGAGGUAUCAUAUCAUACUUGUCAGCAGGUUCUUGAAAACCAGGCACCUGGGCUGAGUUAGGGAUGCAUACAGUGAUCCCCCCGUAACCCACUGGUCUAGACACUUGUUUCUAGCUUCAUUUCUGACCUCAGCCACAGCUUGAGAGCAAGUACCUCUCCAUAGCAAGCUGUAUGUUUGCAUUUUGCCAGGGUGGCUGUAGGCUGUGCGACAGCUGCCCUGGCAGGAACAGGCGAAUGGCAGCUCCCGCAUGGUACUGUCUACCGAUACUCUGGCUUAGGGUUGACUCCUGUUCAUCGACAGUGGAUGAGGAAGAUACCAUGUGACAAACGUGCAGGGAAUAGCAGGUUUACAGGGCUGGAUAGAAUUGCCCAGUCAUCCAGAACUUAGAGGGCAGAUGCUGAUGAGGCAGUGGGAAGGCAGAGAGGCUGCUUUCCCCACGACUGGUCAGAACUUGGCACUUAGAUAAAGUUUUCCUCUGCUGCUACCUAUGGAGUGGAGAUUUUGGGCCCAGUCUAGGACCUGAGGCACUGUGUGAGACAGGCAGUUAGGGCAGACUUAGAACCAAAAAAAGAAAAGGAAAUGAACUGAUUUCCAAAUGGAAUUGUCACAAGCUCCUGAAACUACAGAAGGGUCCACAAACAUUGCACUAUCUUUGUCUUUAUUUCCCCACCCCACACUUAAUGCCUGGAGAGGAAGCACAUCUAGCUAGUCCCCAUGAUAGGAUCUGGGAAUCCUAUUGAAAAUGGACAACUUGAAUAUUUAGAAUCAGGUGGGCAUACCUCAUAUGAUCAAUUUCCUACCAUAGCAGGGAUUCCUGAGUCUCUGGUGGGCCUCGGUCUUUCCAGUUGGCUUCUGGGGGGGAGGGAUAGCUCAGUGGUUUGAGCAUUGGCCUGCUAAACCCAGGGUUGUAAGUUCAAUCCUUUAGGGGGCCAUUUAGGGAUCUGGGGCAAAAAUCUGUCUGGGGAUUGAUCCUGCUUUGAGCAGGGGGUUGGACUAGAUGACCUCCUGAGGUCCCUUCCAACCCUGAUAUUCUAUGAGACUGUGUCUCCAUGAAGUCUGUUCUCCUUUUGGCACAUGGGUUUCUCCUGUAAGCAUUAAAGGGAUGAGCACUGGCUCCCUCACAAUAGCACUGAUUCAUGUGCUAGUGUCAGUGAGGGUCAUUUCAGGCUUCUGAUGAAUCCAAAUGUGUGGUGUUCUCCCUAGAUUCUCCCUGAAAGUUCACAGCCACCAAUAACCUGCUGCUGCUUUAGGGACAACACUCACCAGAACCAAAAGGAGUGACAGCAAUUACACAAAGACUUUUUUUUAAAAACACCCAAGUCAGCUGUAAAAACACGUGCUUUCAGGAAGAGAAGCCCAACUCAGAGGACCUGUUCCCAAGAGCUGUGCAAGGCAUUAAGCCUGUCUGUUCUGCUAUCAGAGGGGGUACAUUCCCCCAUGCAUCACACUGGCUGUUUGACACAUUUUGAAUUUCAAACAAACCAAAAAAAAAAGCUGGUAGAAACUUGAUGCUAUUGAAAUUGAAUUAGAGGCUACUUUGAAACUCCAGGAGCCUGAUUCUGAUCUCGCUCAUGCUAGUGUAAAAUCUGGAGUCACUCCAUUAAAAACAGUGGAGUUGCACUGCUGCAAAAUCGGUGGAAGUGAGAUUAGAAACAGAUCUUGUAUGUUCAGAGCUAAAAAACAGUGGACCUAUUUCUCUGGAUUCCUCACAGUGAGUGACAAUGGGGGGGUGGGGAGGGAGCAUGAGUCUUUUGCUCACCUGGCAAGAUGUGGGUUUUAUAGAUAUAGAAAUAGAUAUAAUCCACGCCUUGCCAGGUGAGCAAUAGACACAAGCUUUUUCUUUAUAUAUUUUUUAUAUAUAUUGUUUGUGAUGGUGUUGAAGCCGUGCAUCACUCUAAGGCCUUGGCUUCCUCCCACCUUCUUCGUCACUGUCGCUGACAUUUCAGAUUUUUCUUUUCACUAUUUUUCUUUUUUCUGGGGGCCUUUCCGUUGAAGUGGGUGGGAGACACGAGUGCCUGUUUGUCCCUAAAUCUGCAAGUUCAUUUCAAAACUGGCCUGCAAUUGCAUGAGUGAUAAUAAUAAUAAACAGGAUUUUUAUUUGAAAAGCACCUUACCAACCAACUGCAAUGCUCUGUCGUUCCUUCACUAACUCCCCUUUCCUCUUCCCCUGUUCCUCUUCUCCCCCUCGCCCCUUUCAAUCAUAUUCUUUUUCAGUGCUUGGUGGUGUAUGCGUGUGUGCUCACUGUUCUUGUAUUCAAUAAAAGUGAAAUAAAUGUGUUUGAUGCUCAA